UACAGAGGGUGCGAGCGUUAAUCGGAAUUACUAGGCGUAAAGCGUGCGUAGACGGUUAUUUAAGUCGGAUGUGAAAGCCCCGGGCUCAACCUGGGAAUUGCAUUCGAGACUGAAUAGCUAGGGUACGGUAGAGGGAAGUGGAAUUUCCGGUGUAGCGGUGAAAUGCGUAGAUAUCGGAAGGAACAUCAGUGGCGAAAGCGACUUCCUGGACCAGUACCGACGUUCAGGCACGAAAGCGUGGGGAGCAAACAGG
rnacentral:rRNA from 1 species